rnacentral:rRNA from 1 species
GCAUUAUACAGCGAAACUGCGAAUGGCUCAUUAAAUCAGUUAUCGUUUAUUUGAUAGUACCUUACUACUUGGAUAACCGUGGUAAUUCUAGAGCUAAUACAUGCUAAAAACCCCGACUCACGAAGGGGUGUAUUUAUUAGAUUAAAAACCAAUGCCCUUCGGGGCUCUUUGGUGAUUCAUAAUAACUUUACGAAUCGCAUGGCCUUGCGCCGGCGAUGGUUCAUUCAAAUUUCUGCCCUAUCAACUUUCGAUGGCAGGGUCUUGGCCUGCCAUGGUUACAACGGGUAACGGAGGGUUAGGGCUCGACCCCGGAGAAGGAGCCUGAGAAACGGCUACUACAUCCAAGGAAGGCAGCAGGCGCGCAAAUUACCCAAUCCCGAUUCGGGGAGGUAGUGACAAUAAAUACUGAUACAGGGCUCUUUUGGGUCUUGUAAUUGGAAUGAGUACAAUUUAAAUCCCUUAACGAGGAACAAUUGGAGGGCAAGUCUGGUGCCAGCAGCCGCGGUAAUUCCAGCUCCAAUAGCGUAUAUUAAAGUUGUUGCAGUUAAAAAGCUCGUAGUUGAACCUUGGGCCUGGCUGGCCGGUCCGCCUCACCGCGUGCACUGGUUCGGCCGGGCCUUUCCCUCUGGGGAACCCCAUGGUCUUCACUGAUCGUGGCGGGGAACCAGGACUUUUACUGUGAAAAAAUUAGAGUGUUCAAAGCAGGCCUAUGCUCGAAUACAUUAGCAUGGAAUAAUAAAAUAGGACGUGUGGUUCUAUUUUGUUGGUUUCUAGGACCGCCGUAAUGAUUAAUAGGGACAGUCGGGGGCAUCAGUAUUCAAUUGUCAGAGGUGAAAUUCUUGGAUUUAUUGAAGACUAACUACUGCGAAAGCAUUUGCCAAGGAUGUUUUCAUUAAUCAGGAACGAAAGUUAGGGGAUCGAAGACGAUCAGAUACCGUCGUAGUCUUAACCAUAAACUAUGCCGACUAGGGAUCGGACGGUGUUACUUAUUGACCCGUUCGGCACCUUACGAGAAAUCAAAGUCUUUGGGU